rnacentral:rRNA from 1 species
CCUACGGGAGGCAGCAGUGAGGAAUAUUGGUCAAUGGGCGGGAGCCUGAACCAGCCAAGCCGCGUGAGGGAAGAAGGUACAGCGUAUCGUAAACCUCUUUUGUCAGGGAACAAAGGCGGGGACGUGUCCCCGGAUGAGUGUACCUGAAGAAAAAGCAUCGGCUAACUCCGUGCCAGCAGCCGCGGUAAUACGGAGGAUGCGAGCGUUAUCCGGAUUUAUUGGGUUUAAGGGGUGCGCAGGCGGUCUGUUAAGUCAGCGGUCAAAGCCCGGGGCUCAACCCCGGCCCGCCGUUGAAACUGGCAGUCUCGAGUUGGAGAGAAGUAUGCGGAAUGCGCGGUGUAGCGGUGAAAUGCAUAGAUAUCGCGCAGAACUCCGAUUGCGAAGGCAGCAUGCCGGCUCCACACUGACGCUGAGGCACGAAAGCGUGGGUAUCGAACAGGAUUAGAUACCCUGGUAGUC